GAAGAAUCAGAAAGAGAAACAGGAGAGACUCCGACUUUGGCAGUUGUCCAUUCACUCCCACGGGAGCAGGAGAGGAGAAGUUCUGUUUUCCAGAAAUGAAAACUGAGACCAGAGAAGAGUAGUUUCCUGGCCAGAGUAAUGCAGCGUGGGGGCCACAGAGCAAGGUAAUAGAAAUCAGGCUUAGGGACUGGGCUGGUACCUACUGAACAGGUCCAAGCAGGAGGGGGCUGGGCCUGGACCCUGGGUCUGAGGGAGGAGGCUGGUCCUGGACCCCUGGGUCUGAGGGAGGAGGCUGGUCCUGGACCCCUGGGUCUGAGGGAGGAGGCUGGGGCUUGACCCCUGGGUCUGAGGGAGGAGGCUGGUCCUGGACCCCUGGGUCUGAGGGAGGAGGCUGGUCCUGGACUCCUGGGUCUGAGGGAGGAGCCUGGGCCUGGACUCCUGGGUCUGGGGGAGGGGGCUGGGCCUGGACCCCUGGGUCUGAUGGAGGGUCCUGGGGCCUGGUCUCUUAUGUGCUAAGAAGGGGUCUGAACCCUAGGAUUCUUCUAACUUCUAACAGAAACUGUCUCUGUGGUUGGUUGCUUGUGUCCACUUGGGUUUUUCUCUGUUCUUUCCCAGUCCCCAACCCCAUACCUUCCAUUGUCCACUUUGGUCCUGAGUCACUGACCUCACAGCCAGGCCAAAGAACUUGUUUGGGAGGAAUACAACAGUUUUAUCCGUAUAAUGGCUCAAGGACAGUAUCCAGGUGGCAGGCUGGGCAGCCUGGCCCUCUGGCCCUGGGGACAGUAAAUGUAAGGGAAAGCCGGUUGCUGGGCUCACAACUCUUGACUCCAACUGUGUGGGGCCUUGUUCCUACCAACACCAAUUCUUCAACUUUCUAGACAAAAACUGGCGGUCUAAGAGUUCACUUGACUUCUGACUUAAUGACCUGGAGUGACCGCGGAACCCACAGGCGGAGGGCUCAGUUCCCUCAGGCUGUUCCUGCUCCGAUGCCCACACUCUGACUGGCUCUCAGGCUCACCCACACCCUCCUCACACCCGCUCAGGGAACUCGGGGCACUCUCUGCUGACAUUUAGCACGUGAUUACAAAGGCUCCGAGAGAACAGCCAGAUCCAGAGGUCCACGGGGCCACGCCCACGGAGGUCCCAAGUGCAGGACCCCCUCCACACACACAUCUGGCUGUAGGUAUGGGGAAGCAUUCGCCCCUCCAAAUGCUCUCUCGAACCUUGUCACUUAGGGAUUAAUGGAGGUUCCCCUACCUUAGCAUGAUCAAUUAAAUCGUUGGUCACUGGUGAUGAAUUCGAUGUCUAGCCCUGUUUCAGAAGUUGGAAAAGGUUCCAGCCGUGUAAUCGCAUGGUUGGCUCCUCUGGCAACCACCCCACGUCCCCCGAGAGCCACGUCACUAACCUAGAUUCAGUAGGGUUGAAGGGUUCAGGCUCCCUAGGAAUCACAAAGUUCGCUCUUCUCUCCCCGACAUCAGGGAAUUAUCAGACAUCAGGAGUUCUGUGCCAGAAACCAGGACCAGAGGCCAGGUAUCUCCUGCUGGUGGUUCUAGUCCGUUCUGACAACUAUACAAAACACCAUCGUCUGGGUGACUGAUAGACCACGGACUCUGGGUCUCGGAAGUCUGAGAUGGAGGCUCAGGCAGAUUUGGCGUGUGUCGGGGGCUCCCUGGGGUGGUCUGCCAUGAACAUGGCUUGCCCCUCUGAAACUCCUGUUGAAGCCCGAUUCUCAGUGUAAGGGUGUUGGGCGGUGGCGGGCCCUUUGGAAGGUGCUCAGGGUCUUAGGCGGGAUUGAGGCCUUUCUUGCCUGAGUUCUCCUGGCACAGGGCUGGAUCAGUUUCCUGGGUCGUUAUGAAGCCGGUUGCCCCUCUUGGUUUGGCACCACCCCCCUGGUCCCUUUCACUUUUCUGCUGUGAGUUGGGGCAGCAUGAAUUCCUCACGUGCAGAGCAGGCGUCAAGGUUGUGCUCUCAGCUUCACCAUCUCUGGAAUAAUGAAC
rnacentral:lncRNA from 1 species